rnacentral:rRNA from 1 species
CAGUAGCCGCGGUAAUACGUAGGGUGCAAGCGUUGUCCGGAAUUAUUGGGCGUAAAGAGCUCGUAGGCGGUCUGUCGCGUCGAAUGUGAAAAUCCGAGGCUCAACCUCGGACCUGCAUUCGAUACGGGCAGACUAGAGUUCGGUAGGGGAGUCUGGAAUUCCUGGUGUAGCGGUGAAAUGCGCAGAUAUCAGGAGGAACACCGGUGGCGAAGGCGGGACUCUGGGCCGAUACUGACGCUGAGGAGCGAAAGCGUGGGGAGCAAACAGGAUUAGAUACCCGUGUAGUCCCUGUCUCUUAUAC